rnacentral:rRNA from 1 species
AACCUUUACACUGCACGACAGUGCGAUAGGGGGACUCCGAGUGCGAGGGCAUAUAGUCCUCGCUUUUCUGUACCGUAAGGUGGUACAAGAAUAAGGGCUGGGCAAGACCGGUGCCAGCCGCCGCGGUAAUACCGGCAGCCCGAGUGAUGGCCGCUAUUAUUGGGCCUAAAGCGUCCGUAGCCGGCCAGACAAGUCUGUUGGGAAAUCCACGCGCUUAACGCGUGGACGUCCGGCGGAAACUGUCUGGCUUGGGGCCGGAAGAUCUGAGGGGUACGUCCGGGGUAGGAGUGAAAUCCCGUAAUCCUGGACGGACCGCCGGUGGCGAAAGCGCCUCAGAAAGACGGACCCGACGGUGAGGGACGAAAGCUAGGGUCUCGAACCGGAUUAGAUACCCGGGUAGUCCUAGCUGUAAACGAUGCUCGCUAGGUGUGCCGCAGGCUACGAGCCUGCGCUGUGCCGUAGGGAAGCCGUGAAGCGAGCCGCCUGGGAAGUACGUCUGCAAGGAUGAAACUUAAAGGAAUUGGCGGGGGAGCAC